AGCUAUACAUGCAGUCGAGCGGACCUCUUCGGAGGUCAGCGGCGGACGGGUGAGUAACACGUGGGCAACCUGCCUGUAAGACUGGGAUAACUCCGGGAAACCGGAGCUAAUACCGGAUACUAUGUCAAACCGCAUGGUUUGACAUUCAAAGACGGUUUCGGCUGUCACUUACAGAUGGGCCCGCGGCGCAUUAGCUAGUUGGUGAGGUAACGGCUCACCAAGGCGACGAUGCGUAGCCGACCUGAGAGGGUGAUCGGCCACACUGGGACUGAGACACGGCCCAGACUCCUACGGGAGGCAGCAGUAGGGAAUCUUCCGCAAUGGACGAAAGUCUGACGGAGCAACGCCGCGUGAGUGAUGAAGGUUUUCGGAUCGUAAAACUCUGUUGUCAGGGAAGAACAAGUGCCGGAGUAACUGCCGGCGCCUUGACGGUACCUGACCAGAAAGCCACGGCUAACUACGUGCCAGCAGCCGCGGUAAUACGUAGGUGGCAAGCGUUGUCCGGAAUUAUUGGGCGUAAAGCGCGCGCAGGCGGUUUCUUAAGUCUGAUGUGAAAGCCCCCGGCUCAACCGGGGAGGGUCAUUGGAAACUGGGAAACUUGAGUGCAGAAGAGGAGAGUGGAAUUCCACGUGUAGCGGUGAAAUGCGUAGAGAUGUGGAGGAACACCAGUGGCGAAGGCGACUCUCUGGUCUGUAACUGACGCUGAGG
rnacentral:rRNA from 2 species